AGCAGUAGCCACGGUAAUACGUAGGGUGCGAGCGUUAAUCGGAAUUACUGGGCGUAAAGCAUGCGCAGGCGGUUGUGUAAGACAGGUGUGAAAUCCCCGGGCUUAACCUGGGAACUGCGCUUGUGACUGCACAGCUAGAGUAUGGCAGAGGGGGGUGGAAUUCCAUGUGUAGCAGUGAAAUGCGUAGAGAUGUGGAGGAACACCGAUGGUGAAGGCAGCCCCCUGGGCCAAUACUGACGCUCAUGCACGAAAGCGUGGGGAGCAAACAGGAUUAGAUACCCCCGUAGUCCCUGUCUCUUAUAC
rnacentral:rRNA from 1 species